ACGGGGUGCAGCAGGCGCGAAAACUUCCCAAUGCGCGAAAGCGUGAGGAGGGAACCCCAAGUGUGAGCCAAAUAGGUUUGCUUUUCUGGAGUGUAAAUAGCUCCUGGAAUAAGGGCUGGGUAAGACUGGUGCCAGCCGCCGCGGUAACACCAGCAGCUCGAGUGGUAGUCGCGUUUAUUGGGCUUAAAGCGUUCGUAGUCGGUUUCGUCAGUCCCCUGUGAAAUCCACCGGCUUAACCGGUGGGCCUGCAGAGGAUACUGCGAAGCUAGGAGCCGGGAAGGGCGAGGGGUAUUCCUUAGGUAGCGGUGAAAUGCUAUAAUCUUGGGAAGACCGCCGGUGGCGAAGGCGCCUCGCUGGAACGGGCUCGACGAUGAGGGACGAAAGCUAGGGGAGCAAAUCGGAUUAGAUACCCGAGUAGUCCUAGCCGUAAACGAUGCGGACUAAGUGUUAUCCAAACCUCGUGUUCGGGUAGUGCUGAAGGGAAACCAUUAAGUCCGCCGCCUGGGAGUACGUCGCAAGC
rnacentral:rRNA from 1 species